GUCAUCUGUAGCACUAUUUGUAAAUAGUCUGGACUCAGUGGAACCUGCUGUCUUAUGAAUAUAAUAUUUUUAACAAGACAGAAACAUGUUCAAAAGUUUGUGUAAAAUUUUAUGAUAUAGCAAGUGAAGAUCGAAAGAAAAGGCUGGAUUUUUUGAAGAAAGGAACACAGCUGAAUUAUCAACGUCACUGUUUGAAUUCAACAGAAGCAAUACUUUCUACCUCUUCGACCACACUGAUAUUACCGUUACAUAUCCUGGGGAAAGUGAAACAAAUUGGGCUAUUGCAAGUUUGGUUACUGCUUGACUUGAUCUCAAAAGGAAAACAAACAUAUCAAGUGGGAUUCUAGAUGGGAUUACAUUUUGGAGUCUAUGCCUCAUCCCCACAUCCAGUGGCUUAGGUUAGGUAUCCAGUUUGCACAAACCAGAUUCCACGUCAGAUUCCUCAACAGAUUUUCUCUAGAAAAUGACUUUUGGCAUCAUAUCAGUGGCAUUUUCCCUUUUGGCUGUAUUUUUAUUCAACUCUUUUUCCUUCUGAACAGUGUUUGGUAA
rnacentral:lncRNA from 1 species